ACAAAACUUUGUCCAGUCUUGUGUAUGUUAUGAACUAUUUGUUAGAACAAAAAGAAUAGUGCUAUAUUUUAUACAGCCGUAUCUCUCUGCAUGCGUAAAUUUUAUAUAAAAUAUAUAUUUAUAUAUAUUUGAUACAAAAAUCAUGAAUUAUUAUUGACAAGCAUGUUUUUUUUAAAAAAUCAUUCAAUUGUGUUCAUUGGGAUCAAAUUUUUCUCAUCCAAAUUUCUUGGUUGUCUUAAAGGGACCAAAAAAAGAAAAGAUCUGAAACAUUUCCAUCUUUUUUUCCAACCAAGCAAAUUCUCAUUACCAUGGAAACCAUGAAUAAUGUGUUCAAAAUUAUUUAUAAUUUUCAACUAAGUUGAAAACAAGUUGCAUUUUUGAUAUUUUCAAUUAAUUUAUUUAUUGUAAAAAGUUUGUCUCAUUUUAUUUUGCCUUCCUAGUUGGGAAGCGGCGAGAUGCCGUUUCUACAGUUGACAGUAUAGAUGAUACGUUUUCGAUCAAUGAAGCGAUGAAUUUCAUUCGCUUUUUAUUUUGCAAGACCAUAACCUCACUUUGAAGUCAUGUGACCUCAACUUCACUGUGAGAAGUCACAUGACGCAGAAGUAAAUAUUAUAAGUGUGAGCCCACUUGUAAACUUGAUUAUGGUUACAUGUUUAUGAAAUGGUAAGCAUACACAAAACUUUUUUUCGAGCUUACCGGGAUCUGUGUUGACGUAAAAAAAAAUCCAUUAAUUUUUUUUUUCGAAUAAGACUAGCAUGUAUUGUGUAUCCUAAUAUAUCCUGUAUCCAAGCCCCUCGCCCUGCCGCUCUGUGAUUUUCCAGUCCACAAUAUUGUACAAACCUUGCAACCGUGGUUAUUGUGUCUCAAACAAGUACAGGGCUCCAGAGGCACUAUUUUGUCUUUUUUUUUUUUACCUUAGCAAAAUCAUGAAAGUAAUUAUUUUUUAUCUGUGUCUUUCAAGUUUAAAGAAUUUCAAUUUAUCUGUGAUAUUUUUUUCUCAAUACCAAUGAUAGAUGUAUGAAAGAUUGAAAAUAUGAGGAUUAUGAAUGAAGAAUGCAGACGUCACUAGAAUUGCGGGUAUAACUAGUUUCAAUGCAAUUUUUGCAUAUGAUGAAUUAAAAUGGCGACCAGUCGACUAGCUCGUACAGUUUGUUUUAUCCUCGCAAACAAAGAAUGUGAUAGAGUUCAAUUUUUAACCCCGUAGCGCUGCAAUUUUUAGAGGAUAGGACUAUUGUACGAAAGGUUAUGGUCUCUUGAUUUGUAACGGUCGUGAUACAACAGGGUUUUGAAGUACAAGAAUGUAGAAACACAAAAAGUAUUGGUUGCAUUGUAUUUUGACUCUGAUGACUGUACAUGUACGUGUUUUUGUCAAAAAUUGUACUUCGCUCUCUGGACGACUUAACGUUUUACAUCAGAACAUUGUUCUGUGUAAAUAAAUUGAAGGCAAUAAUAAAAUAUUUGAAAAAUG
rnacentral:sRNA from 1 species